rnacentral:misc_RNA from 1 species
CGGCCACUUCUGCUCCGGUUCGCCCCUCUCCUUCUACGACACUCGCGGCGCCGUCAUCCUCCCCACCCUUAGCCAAUUCGCCGCCCGCUGCGCCGAUCCCGGCGGCCCCCGCCUCCUCGGAUGGAUAUCCGGCCGUCGCCGCACAGGCCUCCGCCCCUCCAUGCGCGAACGCGCCGUCUCCCUCUCCCUCGUCAAAACCCUAGCCAAAAGCCCCCCCGCCAUCCCCUGCAUCUUCCUCCUCCUUACCUCUUCCGUCACCGAAGAUCACAUCCAUACACAUGAGUACCGCGUCUUCGUCACAAUCUCCCGUGGCCGGAAGCUCG